rnacentral:rRNA from 1 species
CCUACGGGUGGCAGCAGUGGGGAAUAUUUCACAAUGGGGGAAACCCUGAUGCAGCAACGCCGCGUGAAGGAAGACGGUUCUCCGAUUGUUAAACUCUGUUCAUAGUGAAGCAUAUUGACGGUAGCUUACGAGCAAGCGACGGCUAACUACGUGCCAGCAGACGAGGUAAGACGGAGGUGGCAAGCGUUGUCCGGAAUUAUUGGGUGUAAAGGGAGCGCAGGCGGGAUGCCAAGUCAGCUGUGAAAGGAACGGGCUUAACUUGUAGACUGCAGUUGAAACUGGAAGUCGUGAGUGAAGUAGAGGUAGGCGGAAUUCCGGGUGUAGCGGUGAAAUGCGUAGAUAUUCAGAGGAACACCGGUGGCGAAGGCGG